CGGAGCAUGCCGCGUGAAGGAUGAAGCACCUCGGUGUGUAAACUUCUGUCMGGGUUUAGGAACACAAUGACCAGACCCAGAGGAAGAGCCGGCUAACUCUGUGCCAGCAGCCGCGGUAAUACAGAGGGCUCAAGCGUUAAUCGGAAUCACUGGGCUUAAAGGGUGCGCAGGCGGACCCGUCAGUGUCUUGUGAAAUCCCACGGCUCAACCGUGGAACUGCAGGGCAUACUGCGGGUCUUGAACCCGGCAGGGGCAAUCGGAACUCUAGGUGGAGCGGUGAAAUGCGUAGAUAUCUAGAGGAACGCCAAAGGCGAAGGCAGAUUGCUGGGCCGGCGUUGACGCUCAGGCACGAAAGCGUGGGGAGCGAACGGGAUUAGAUACCCCGGUAGUCCACGCCCUAAACGWKGUGUACUAGAUCGAGGUGGUUUUGACGCCGUCUCGGUCGGAGCAAAAGUAUUAAGUACACCGCCUGGGGAGUACGGUCGCAAGGCUAAAACUCAAAGGAAUUGACGGGGGCUCACACAAGCGGUGGAGCAUGUGGCUUAAUUCGAAGCAACGCGAAGAACCUUAUCCAGGGCUUGACAUGCACGGAUUAGCUUCCUGAAAGGGAAGUGACGCCUCGGUGGAACGUGCACAGGUGCUGCAUGGCUGUCGUCAGCUCGUGCUGUGAAGUGUCGGGUUAAGUCCCUUAACGAGCGAAACCCUUGCCGCUAGUUGCUA
rnacentral:rRNA from 1 species